UUUGAAUAAUAUAUUUAUGGUUUAAAAUUGUCAAAUACAGUAUGUGGUUGGAUACUUGUAUUUGUCUGAUGCUCUGAUGGAUGAAAAGUUUUGUCUUCUUGGGUAAAAAAUAUUUAAAGUAUGAGAUUCAGUAUUUUCUUUUGCAUUAUUUUUUCAUUUGACUAGUUUGAACAUCCAUCAAGUAUAGAAAAUGCAAAGGUUGACUUUAAUUGCUUUCUUCUGUAUGUACUGCAUUGCAUGAUAAGUUCCUGAGUCUAUGCUUUCAAAUCACAGUUGCAGUGCUGCUUGAAGGGUUUGUUGUGAGAAUGAUGUUAGGGUCACUCCUUUCACUUAUUUCGUUUCAUUUUUAAACUAGUGAAUAGCGUCUCACAAAUUUAGAAGAAUGA
rnacentral:misc_RNA from 1 species